AGGCCAUGAUAUGGGCAGAGUCUCAUCAUGUCCUUGUAUCUCUCCCAAGCCUUAAAGAGGGAUUCACCGCUGGUAUAUCUAAAACAGGUUAUCUGGUUUUUUAACAU